GAUGAACGCUGGCGGCGUGCCUAAUACAUGCAAGUCGAGCGAACAGACGAGGAGCUUGCUCCUCUGACGUUAGCGGCGGACGGGUGAGUAACACGUGGAUAACCUACCUAUAAGACUGGGAUAACUUCGGGAAACCGGAGCUAAUACCGGAUAAUAUAUUGAACCGCAUGGUUCAAUAGUGAAAGACGGUGUUGCUGUCACUUAUAGAUGGAUCCGCGCCGCAUUAGCUAGUUGGUAAGGUAACGGCUUACCAAGGCAACGAUGCGUAGCCGACCUGAGAGGGUGAUCGGCGACACUGGAACGGGGACACGGUCCAGACUCCUACGGGAGGGAGCAGUAGGGAAUCGGCCGCAAUGGGCGAAAGCCUGACGGAGCAACGCCGCGUGAGUGAUGAAGGUGUUCGGAUCGUAAAACUCUGUUAUGAGGGAAGAACAAAUGUGUAAGUAACUAUGCACGUCUUGACGGUACCUAAUCAGAAAGCCACGGCUAACUACGUG
rnacentral:rRNA from 1 species